rnacentral:rRNA from 1 species
GACGAACGCUGGCGGCGUGCUUAACACAUGCAAGUCGAACGGAAAGGCCCUGCUUUUGUGGGGUGCUCGAGUGGCGAACGGGUGAGUAACACGUGAGUAACCUGCCCUUGACUUUGGGAUAACUUCAGGAAACUGGGGCUAAUACCGGAUAGGAUCUCCUGCUGCAUGGGGGGGGUUGGAAAGUUUCGGCGGUUGGGGCUGGACUCGCUGCUUAUGAGCUUGUUGGUGGGGUAGUGGCUUACCAAGGCUUUGACGGGUAGCCGGCAUGAGAGGGUGACCGGGCACCUGGGGACUGAGAGACGGAGCAGAAGCGUACGGGAGGCAGCAGUGGGGAAUAUUGCACAAUGGGCGGAAGCCUGAUGUAGCAACGCUGCGUGCGGGAUGACCGCCUUCGGGUUGUAAACCGAUUUGGCAUGUGAUGAAGCGUGAGUGACGGUAAUGGGUAAAGAAGCACCGGCUAACUACGUG